rnacentral:rRNA from 1 species
GACAGAGGGUGCAAACGUUGCUCGGAAUUACUGGGCGUAAAGCGCGUGUAGGCGGUUUCUUAAGUCAGGUGUGAAAGCCCGGGGCUCAACCCCGGAAGUGCACAUGAUACUGGGAAGCUUGAGUACUGAAGAGGAGAGCGGAAUUCUCGGUGUAGAGGUGAAAUUCGUAGAUAUCGGGAGGAACACCAGUGGCGAAGGCGGCUCUCUGGGCAGAUACUGACGCUGAGACGCGAAAGCAUGGGGAGCAAACAGG